rnacentral:rRNA from 1 species
GAUGAACGCUGGCGGCGUGCCUAAUACAUGCAAGUCGAGCGAACGGACGAGAAGCUUGCUUCUCUGAUGUUAGCGGCGGACGGGUGAGUAACACGUGGAUAACCUACCUAUAAGACUGGGAUAACUUCGGGAAACCGGAGCUAAUACCGGAUAAUAUUUUGAACCGCAUGGUUCAAAAGUGAAAGACGGUCUUGCUGUCACUUAUAGAUGGAUCCGCGCUGCAUUAGCUAGUUGGUAAGGUAACGGCUUACCAAGGCAACGAUGCAUAGCCGACCUGAGAGGGUGAUCGGCCACACUGGAACUGAGACACGGUCCAGACUCCUACGGGAGGCAGCAGUAGGGAAUCUUCCGCAAUGGGCGAAAGCCUGACGGAGCAACGCCGCGUGAGUGAUGAAGGUCUUCGGAUCGUAAAACUCUGUUAUUAGGGAAGAACAUAUGUGUAAGUAACUGUGCACAUCUUGACGGUACCUAAUCAGAAAGCCACGGCUAACUACGUGCCAGCAGCCGCGGUAAUACGUAGGUGGCAAGCGUUAUCCGGAAUUAUUGGGCGUAAAGCGCGCGUAGGCGGUUUUUUAAGUCUGAUGUGAAAGCCCACGGCUCAACCGUGGAGGGUCAUUGGAAACUGGAAAGCUUGAGUGCAGAAGAGGAAAGUGGAAUUCCAUGUGUAGCGGUGAAAUGCGCAGAGAUAUGGAGGAACACCAGUGGCGAAGGCGACUUUCUGGUCUGUAACUGACGCUGAUGUGCGAAAGCGUGGGGAUCAAACAGGAUUAGAUACCCUGGUAGUCCACGCCGUAAACGAUGAGUGCUAAGUGUUAGGGGGUUUCCGCCCCUUAGUGCUGCAGCUAACGCAUUAAGCACUCCGCCUGGGGAGUACGACCGCAAGGUUGAAACUCAAAGGAAUUGACGGGGACCCGCACAAGCGGUGGAGCAUGUGGUUUAAUUCGAAGCAACGCGAAGAACCUUACCAAAUCUUGACAUCCUUUGACAACUCUAGAGAUAGAGCCUUCCCCUUCGGGGGACAAAGUGACAGGUGGUGCAUGGUUGUCGUCAGCUCGUGUCGUGGGAUGUUGGGUUAAGUCCCGCAACGAGCGCAACCCUUAAGCUUAGUUGCCAUCAUUAAGUUGGGCACUCUAAGUUGACUGCCGGUGACAAACCGGAGGAAGGUGGGGAUGACGUCAAAUCAUCAUGCCCCUUAUGAUUUGGGCUACACACGUGCUACAAUGGACAAUACAAAGGGCAGCGAAACCGCGAGGUCAAGCAAAUCCCAUAAAGUUGUUCUCAGUUCGGAUUGUAGUCUGCAACUCGACUACAUGAAGCUGGAAUCGCUAGUAAUCGUAGAUCAGCAUGCUACGGUGAAUACGUUCCCGGGUCU